rnacentral:rRNA from 1 species
AUCAAGGCAGGCAAAGCCUCAGGAUUCUCAGAAGAUGAGGAAGGAAUUGUGUGGUUUGGGAAUCGCAUCUGCGUGCCCAACAAAGUUGAGCUCAAGAACCUGAUCUUGCAAGAAGCUCAUGACAGCCCAUAUUCCAUUCACCCUGGAGGCACCAAGAUGUAUCAAGACCUGAAGGAAAGAUUUUGGUGGCACGGGAUGAAAAGGGAGAUUGCCACCUAUGUUGCAAAAUGUGACGUAUGCCAGAGAGUCAAAGCUGAGCAUCAGCGACCUGCUGGAUUACUCCAACCCCUCAAGGUGCCUGAAUGGAAGUGGGACAAAGUCGAGAUGGACUUCAUCACCGGUUUACCCAGGUCAAGCAAGGGACAUGACUCAAUAUGGGUCAUCGUUGACCAUUUGACCAAGGUGGCCCACUUCAUUCCUGUCAAGACGACCUACAAGGGGAACCAGUUAGCCAGUCUCUACAUCAACCGAAUUGUGAGCCUUCAUGGUGUUCCCAAGGAGAUUGUGUCAGACCGAGGAACCCAGUUCACCUCAAGGUUUUGGAAGAAAUUCCAGGAGGCCAUGGGGACCAAGUUGUCCUUCAGCACUGCUUUCCACCCACAGACCGGAGGUCAGACCGAGCGAGUGAAUCAAAUACUCGAAGACAUGCUCCGAGCCUGUGUCUUAGCUUAUGGAGCUAAGUGGGAAGAUUGCCUCCCUUUCGCCGAGUUCUCUUACAACAACAGUUAUCAGGCCAGCCUUCAGAUGGCACCAUUUGAAGUGUUAUAUGGGCGGAAGUGUCGUACACCUCUCAACUGGUCGGAGGCCGGAGAAGGACUUGUCUUUGGGCCUGAUAUCCUUCAUGAAGCAGAAGAGCAAGUCCAGCUUGUCCGAGAGCGUCUGAAGUCUGCC